UCAAUUUUGCAGGCCGGUUUUAUAUCCUAUAAAACAGAAGAGAAAACGGUCGAGCUCUUCUCCUUCCACCGAAAUGGUAGCUACCUUCUCCGACCCCUCUUCACCUGGUAAAUGGUCUGGUUUCGAAUGGAUAAAACGGUUUGGAUCCUUGAUUGGUUUUGGUUUGGACUGGUGAGACUGGGUUAUGUUCACAAUCGGUCCGGUCCGGUCCGGUUCUUAGUCAAAUACGGUUUGGUUCGGUCUGGUUUUGGAGGCAAAUGGUUUGGUUUCAUCUGGGUUGAACCGUUGGGUUAGGAGUGGGUUCAACCCAGCUCGUGAGAGCAUCUCCAAGACUCCCAACAGAUCAGAAGUUAGGUCGUGAGCCGCCGCUGCGCCUGGGGCUUCGAUUCCGGCGAGGGAGGGCAGCAGGAGGUUGGGGCGGCGUCGGCACUUCAAUUCCGGUGAGAGCGGGCGGGGGCGGGACGCUGGAACGGAGAGGGAAGGCGGGGGCGGGCCGCACCACCACCUCGAGAAGCAAGGCCGGCGUGCGGUGCGGACGCCGGCGGCCUGGCUGCGCCGCCCUUCCGUCGACUCCUCUCGCGUGCCCGAUGCCGCCGCAAGUCCAUCUCCAUCCACGAAUCGACCGCAGAGAUGGAUCACUUCAAGCGGGGUGAUCUUGAACCGGAGUUCUACGAUGAUGACCACUAGAUGCUGGCCUCGACUUGCGGAUUGUGAUGUGCAUUAUGGCUCUUGUUUGAGCCAUCUUAUGGCCAUUUGAACUCGUUUCUGUUGCCACUUUUGUACUUGAAUUUCCGCUGCAAAUUCUACAAUGCAUGCUUUGGUAUGAUCGAAGCCAAAUGUUGGUGGACAUCCGUAUCCCAAUCAUGAAACACUUAGUCUGAGUUGUCUUAGGGUUUGCUCGUGCUUCUGCCCUUUGUUGGUGGACAUCCGUAUUAUUGGACUUAGGAUAAUCCAGGGUUUAGUAAUCUGGUUUCAUCACAACUCUGCUCAUAAGAUGCAAAUGGAUGCAAAUAGAAAUAAUUUGUAUGAAUAUCCAAUCAUGUUGCAUAAUUUGAAUAAUC